rnacentral:rRNA from 1 species
AACGAACGCUGGCGGCAUGCCUAACACAUGCAAGUCGAACGAGACCUUCGGGUCUAGUGGCGCACGGGUGCGUAACGCGUGGGAAUCUGCCCUUUGCUACGGAAUAACUCGAGGAAACUCGUGCUAAUACCGUAUGAUGUCGCAAGACCAAAGAUUUAUCGGCAAGGGAUGAGCCCGCGUAGGAUUAGCUAGUUGGUGAGGUAAAGGCUCACCAAGGCGACGAUCCAGCUGGUCUGAGAGGAUGAUCAGCCACACUGGGACGUGAGACACGG